AUUGAACGCUGGCGGCAGGCCUAACACAUGCAAGUCGAGCGGAGCGGCGGACGGGUGAGUAAUGCCUAGGAAUCUGCCUGGUAGUGGGGGCUAACGUCCUGAAACGGGCGCUAAUACCGCACACUAUCAGUUGUGCCUAGGCCGGUUUAGCUAGGUGUGGGGGUAAAGGCCUACCAAGGCCACGAUCCGUAGCUGGUCUGAGAGGAUGAUCAGUCACACUGGAACUGAGACACGGUCCAGACUCCUACGGGAGGCAGCAGUGGGGAAUAUUGGACAAUGGGCGAAAGCCUGAUCCAGCCAUGCCGCGUGUGUGAAGAAGGUCUUCGGGUUGUAAAGCACUUUAAGUUGGGAGGCGUUACCAGCAGAAUAAGCACCGGCUAACUUCGUGCCAGCAGCCGCGGUAAUUC
rnacentral:rRNA from 1 species